UGGGGCCCAACACGCAGAUUUUUAAAAGCUCUCCACAGGAGCUAAGCUCUGUGGACGCAGAUUUUAAUAACCCAGGCUACCUCUGCCAGUCCCAGUUAGAGCAUGAUAGCACCAGGGAGAACUGAGCACCAGCCUGACUCAUCACUGUCAUUUACAGUUCUCCGUCUUUCUCUGCUCCAGGAAGUGCUGCACACUGAAACAGUGAGCCCCAAACAUUCCUGAAGAAGCCAGGAAAGUGAAGACACGUGCUUGAAAGUAGCCUAGAUCCGGCAUUCGUAGCCGCAGACCAUCGCCAGCAACUUCCAGUGGUUUUCCCUCUUUGGCCCAAUGUUUGCAGUGCCUGCUGCUCAUUUUCACUGAACUCGGCCCAUGGAGCUUUCUUGAGAAUGAGCUGAACCUUUGCCUGGAAGGCAGCAGAGCUGCAGUGGGACAGUCUUUGUGUUGACACACGGGGUGACAUGGCAGGAGCCUGGCGGGGCGGGGGGGGAGGGAGGAAGUCCAGGCUCUGGACCCAGGUGUCCUGGGUUUCCUGCCAGCUCUGCUACCAGCUCUCUCUGUGACCUUGGGCUUCUUGCUCAACCUCUUCCUGCCUCAGUUCCCUCACUUCUCCAGUAAGGGUCAUAAUAAUAGCACAAGCACCCUUGAGGGUUGUGACUGUUACGGGGGUUUGACGCAUGUGGAGACUGAUGGUCACAUCAGAGUGCGUGCUCCGUGAGUGUCAGCUCUCCACGGGGGCAGGCACAGGUGACAGGGAAGCCCGUGGCUCCCGCAGGAGAGGAGGGAGCUUAGGAAACUGCCUUUUCUUUUCUUCUUUUUUUAACCCUGAGGAUUAUAGAAAUCUGCGUCUGCAUUCUGGCUUCCUCCACACAAUGAUUUAUUUAAUAUCAAAUCAUUAUGUAGAAAUAAUAAGCAUAGGUGUGAGCACCUGGGGAAACUGUGUGGUCGUCUUUAUGUAGGUGCUUUGCAAGAUGAUAUAAAAAUACUAACUUUGGGGCUGGCCCAGUGGCAUAGCUGUUAAGUUCAUGUGCUCCACUUCGGCAGCCCUAGGUUCGCAGGUUUGGAUCCUGGACGCAGACCUAGCAUCGCCGGUCAAAGCGUGCUGUGGUGGCGUCCCACUUAAAAUAGAGGAAGAUGGCACAGAUGUUAGCUCAGGGCCAAUCUUCCUUGCACACACACAAUAAUACUAAUUUUGAUUAUAAUAUUUUAAUUGAUAGGUUUUCAGGUUGGCAUGGACUAAUAAACAGUAUAAAUUGACACGACGUAGAAU
rnacentral:lncRNA from 1 species